GUAGAAGGUGACGUUCUCACGACCUUUCGCAACGUUCCCUUAAAGUUCUCUAAAGAGGAUGAAAAGACCUGAACCUUUAGAGAACAUUAGAAGGCAAUGCAUCUUGGAAACAGUAGUCCGUUACCAGCAACAGCGUUCAAUCCGCUUUAUGAAAAGGACUACCUUACCCAUAAUGCUACAGCUUACAAGAGGACCCGGAAGUCGCAUGAAAUUCAAACUGCCACACUUGACGACGCGUGAUCUUUGUUUUGUCUUUAUAUAAUACUGUAAGAAGUCAUGUACCACACAUUGUCAAACCUGAAGAAGUGUAUCUUCCUGCAAUCUGGGCUCCAGACCUGGAGAUUGAAGUUCCUAAAGGUUGAUGUUUAUCAAGCUUGUGACCUUAUUGCAUGGUGUUAUUUUUUUACAUUUAUAUAUCUAAUACACAUUUGCACAUCUGUAAACAUAAAUUUAAUAUUUUGUGGGUUAUUUUUAAAUUUUAUUUAACCAGUUGUUGUAUAUUGAAAUCUGUUAUUACAUGUUAUGCACUCCAACUGUAAAUGUUUUGUUUUAAUUGCAUCUUUAUUGUUUUAAACAAUUUAAUUAAUGUGGGUUUUUGUUAGCUUUUAUGUUAUUCUUGUAUUUUUUGGCUAUUUAUUUGUUUUUAUUAUCCUUCUGUUAAUUUGCCAGAUUUUGACCUUCUAUUUGUUUUUCCUGUAAUCUCACUUCAAUUAUUUUCUGUGUUUUUCAAUGAUACAUUUUUGUCACAGUCCCAAUUUGUUCCUGCUUGUUUCUCCAUGUUUCCCCGUUCAUCAUCCAUUUGGACUUCAUUUCCCAUAAUCCUUUUCACUCUCUCACCUGAACUGUGUUUGUUAUUAUCCUCACCUGACAGUCAUCCCCCUCAUCACUCCAUUGUCUAAAUACCCCACUUUUCCGUUUGUCUAGGUCAGUUCUUGUUUAUAGUGAUGUGUUGUGUGUUUUGCUGUACCAGUUUCCAUGUUCCUUGUUUUAUAUUAAUUAAAGAUUAUCAUUUUGGAUUCAUCAUGAUCUCCAUCUCCUCCUUUAUCUUCCACCACACCAACCGUAUCAAUUUCACAGUAUAAUUAUAUAUUGUUUGAGUUAUGGCUAUUUUCUGUCUUAAAUGUUCUGGGAACUUUACUAGGCAAUGUCCUUAACACCAGUGGGGUCGUUCCGGGAACAUAAAAUUUCUACAUAAAAUAUGGUUCCCUUAACAUUUUCUGAACGUCCUAAAUGUUCCGUGAAGGUCUGCCAAAUAACGUCCUUCACCCUUUUAAAGAACUCCACAACACGU